rnacentral:rRNA from 1 species
UGGGGAAUUUUGGACAAUGGGCGAAAGCCUGAUCCAGCAAUGCCGCGUGUGUGAAGAAGGCCUUCGGGUUGUAAAGCACUUUUGUCCGGAAAGAAAUCCUUGGCUCUAAUACAGUCGGGGGAUGACGGUACCGGAAGAAUAAGCACCGGCUAACUACGUGCCAGCAGCCGCGGUAAUACGUAGGGUGCAAGCGUUAAUCGGAAUUACUGGGCGUAAAGCGUGCGCAGGCGGUUUGCUAAGACCGAUGUGAAAUCCCCGGGCUCAACCUGGGAACUGCAUUGGUGACUGGCAGGCUAGAGUAUGGCAGAGGGGGGUAGAAUUCCACGUGUAGCAGUGAAAUGCGUAGAGAUGUGGAGGAAUACCGAUGGCGAAGGCAGCCCCCUGGGCCAAUACUGACGCUCAUGCACGAAAGCGUGGGGAGCAAACAGGAUUAGAUACCCUGGUAGUCCACGCCCUAAACGAUGUCAACUAGUUGUUGGGGACUUCAUUUUCCUUAGUAACGUAGCUAACGCGUGAAGUUGACCGCCUGGGGAGUACGGUCGCAAGAUUAAAACUCAAAUGAAUUGAC